AUUGAACGCUGGCGGCAGGCCUAACACAUGCAAGUCGAGCGAGCGGCGGACGGGUGAGUAAUGUAUGGGGAUCUGCCCGCUAGAGGGGGAUAACUACUGGACACGGUGGCUACUACCGCCUUCUCUCGGAUCCACCCAUAUGGGAUUAGCUAGUAGGUGGGGUAAAGGCUCACCUAGGCGACGAUCUCUCGCUGGUCUGAGAGGAUGCUCAGCCACACUGGGACUGAGACACGGCCCAGACUCCUACGGGAGGCAGCAGUGGGGAAUAUUGCACAAUGGGCGCAAGCCUGAUGCAGCCAUGCCGCGUGUAUGAAGAAGGCCUUAGGGUUGUAAAGUACUUUCAGCGGGGAGGCGUUACCCGCAGAAGAAGCACCGGCUAACUCCGUGCCAGCAGCCGCGGUAAUAC
rnacentral:rRNA from 1 species